rnacentral:ncRNA from 1 species
ACAAAUUCGAUGACGAGAACAAGUACGUUGUGAAGCUGUUCCCCAGAGAGCCGGUAUUUGCUGAAAGCCGGUGUUCAGUUCGCAGCCGAAUAUCCUCUCCGAGAAGUCAAGCUGAAUUACAGUAAGCUUGAACGGUUGUCUACCGUUAAAAAGAACGCGUAUGAUUGUACGUUGCUGAGUGCUAUUGAUGAACGGGUCGUAAUCAAUAGAAGCCAGGGUGGUACCGCGGGUAAACCCGUCCCUUGU